rnacentral:tRNA from 1 species
GCGGACGUGGUGGAAUUGGUAGACACACCAGAUUUAGGUUCUGGCGCCGUAAGGUGUGAGAGUUCGAGUCUCUCCGUCCGCACCA